rnacentral:rRNA from 1 species
UACAGAGGGAGCUAGCGUUAUUCGGAAUUACUGGGCGUAAAGCGCACGUAGGCGGCUUUGUAAGUUAGAGGUGAAAGCCUGGAGCUCAACUCCAGAAUUGCCUUUAAGACUGCAUCGCUUGAAUCCAGGAGAGGUGAGUGGAAUUCCGAGUGUAGAGGUGAAAUUCGUAGAUAUUCGGAAGAACACCAGUGGCGAAGGCAGCUCGCUGGGACGGUACUGACGCUGAGACGCGAAAGCGUGGGGAGCAAACAGG